rnacentral:rRNA from 1 species
AACGAACGCUGGCGGCAGGCCUGAGGCAUGCAAGUCGAACGAGAAAGUGUAGCAAUACAUGAGUAGAGUGGCGCACGGGUGAGUAACGCGUGGGAACAUACCUUAAAGUGGGGGAUAACAGUUGGAAACGACUGCUAAUACCGCAUAAACCCUUCGGGGGAAAGAUUUAUCGCUUUAAGAUUGGCCCGCGUUGGGUUAGCUUGUUGGUGAGGUAAUGGCUCACCAAGGCACUGAUCCAUAGCUGGUUUGAGAGAAUGAUCAGCCACACUGGGACUGAGACACGGCCCAGACUCCUACGGGAGGCAGCAGCUAGGAAUAUUGGACAAUGGGCGAAAGCCUGAUCCAGCCAUGCCGCGUGAGUGAAGAAGGCCUUCGGGUUGUAAAGCUCUUUUAGUUAUGAAGAUGAUGACUGUAGUAACAGAAAAAGCACCGGCUAACUUCGUGCCAGCCGCCGCGGUAA